GACGAACGCUGGCGGCGUGCUUAACACAUGCAAGUCGAACGAAGUGGCGAACGGGUGAGUAACGCGUAAUCAACCUGCCCUUCAGAGGGGGACAACAGUUGGCAACGACUGCUAAUACCGCAUAAUGGAGGAGGGGAUUGCGUCGGAUUUGCUAGUUGGAGGGGUCACGGACCACCAAGGCGAUGAUCAGGAGCCGGGCGGAGUGGAUGAACUGCCACAUGGGGACUGAGACACGGCCCAGACUCCUACGGGAGGCAGCAGUGGGGAAUCUUCCGCAAUGGACGAAAGUCUGACUGAGCAACGCCGCGUGAGUGAUGACGGCCUUCGGGUUGUAAAGCUCUGUUAAUCGGGACGCGGUACCGGAAUAGAAAGCCACGGCUAACUACGUGCCAGCAGCCGCGGUAAUUC
rnacentral:rRNA from 1 species